rnacentral:rRNA from 1 species
UGGGGAAUAUUGGACAAUGGGCGCAAGCCUGAUCCAGCCAUGCCGCGUGAGUGAUGAAGGCCCUAGGGUUGUAAAGCUCUUUCACCGGUGAAGAUAAUGACGGUAACCGGAGAAGAAGCCCCGGCUAACUUCGUGCUAGCAGCCGCGGUAAUACGAAGGGGGCUAGCGUUGUUCGGAUUUACUGGGCGUAAAGCGCACGUAGGCGGACUAUUAAGUCAGGGGUGAAAUCCCGGGGCUCAACCCCGGAACUGCCUUUGAUACUGGUAGUCUUGAGUUCGAGAGAGGUGAGUGGAAUUCCGAGUGUAGAGGUGAAAUUCGUAGAUAUUCGGAGGAACACCAGUGGCGAAGGCGGCUCACUGGCUCGAUACUGACGCUGAGGUGCGAAAGCGUGGGGAGCAAACAGG